GUGCAGCAGUCGCGAAACCUCCGCAAUGCGCGAAAGCGCGACGGGGCCACCCCGAGUGCCGCCCGCUGAGGGCGGCUUUUCCCCGGUGUAGACAGCCGGGGGAAUAAGGGGAGGGCAAGUCUGGUGUCAGCCGCCGCGGUAAUACCAGCUCCCGAGUGGUGGGGACGAUUAUUGGGCCUAAAGCGUCCGUAGCCGGCCCGGCAAGUCUCCCGUUAAAUCCAGCGAUCUAAUCGCUGGACUGCGGGAGAUACUGUCGGGCUAGGGGGCGGGAGAGGCCGGCGGUAUUCCCCGGGGUAGGGGUGAAAUCCUAUAAUCCCGGGAGGACCACCAGUGGCGAAGGCUGCCGGCUGGAACGCGCCCGACGGUGAGGGACGAAAGCCGGGGAGCGAACCGGAUUAGAUA
rnacentral:rRNA from 1 species